AGCAGCUCGGAAUAUAGGUGUACUUUUCAAGCAAGAGAUUAAAGGAGCUUGGGUAAAAUUUUCAAAUUAUCCAGAGACUCAAGUAAAUCUAUUAUUUGAGCAUUUCAUAGAAGUUGGAUAUACUUACACAUGUUCUGAGGAAGAAUUGAAGGUUGCAUUCACCGAACAUAUAAAAAAAAUAAAAAAAUUGCUGAUUGGAUGUGGAACUUGAGAAGGCCAAUUUUUCAAAAAUACAAAAGCACUGGUCAGAGAUAUGCAAACCGCCCAGAGAAUGUACCUGAUCCUGCAAUAUGGAUUGCAAUGGUUGAUGAAUGGUUAAAGCCUGAGUGGCAGGAUCAAAGUAAAAGAAACAUAUCUAAUCAGGAAAAAUCAACAAUAGUGCACAACACUGGUUCAUUUCCAAUGGCGAAAUACCAAAAAGAUGAGGUGCGUGGAAUUGGAAGAAAAUCAUGAGCAUUUGAAAGAGGAAUUGAAUGAUGUCAAAGGUCAAUUGAGCACUUUGCAACAACAAGUUCAAAUGCUGAUUAACAAUAACCCACAAAAUUCUACUCACAGUGCAAGGCAAUCACCUAAUGCGGACAAUGUGGGAAGUUGUUCUGAUGCUUAUCUUAGUGAUGAUGUCGUGGAAGAGCCCAACUAGUUCUUUUAUCAUCUGCCAAAGACAUUUUAUUUAGUAAUGUCAGAAUUCAAAGUUUAGAAG